rnacentral:lncRNA from 1 species
GGAAGUGAUAUUUGGAGACACUGAGUGACUUGACUAAGUCAUAGACCUAGAAUGUGGAAAGUUUCACUCCAGGGACCACAGCAUACAAAAGAAAUUUGUGCACCUUAUGAAGUUUUUCUUGAUGUUGGAGAUAGAACCCACUGGGAGGAAGAACAGAUGCCGGCUCCCUUCCCUGUG